AGAGUUUGAUCCUGGCUCAGGACGAACGCUGGCGGCGUGCUUAACACAUGCAAGUCGAGCGAGGCCCAUUCUUCGGGGUGGUGCCCUAGCGGCGAACGGGUGAGUAACACGUGGGCAACCUGCCCUCAGCUCUGGGAUAACUCCAAGAAAUUGGUGCUAAUACCGGAUGUGACCGCUGACCGCAUGGUCUGGUGGUGGAAAGAUUCAUCGGCUGAGGAUGGGCCCGCGGCCUAUCAGCUUGUUGGUGGGGUGAUGGCCCACCAAGGCGACGACGGGUAGCCGGCCUGAGAGGGUGACCGGCCACACUGGGACUGAGACACGGCCCAGACUCCUACGGGAGGCAGCAGUGGGGAAUAUUGCGCAAUGGGCGAAAGCCUGACGCAGCGACGCCGCGUGAGGGAUGACGGCCUUCGGGUUGUAAACCUCUUUCAGCAGGGACGAAGCGCAAGUGACGGUACCUGCAGAAGAAGCACCGGCCAACUACGUGCCAGCAGCCGCGGUAAUACGUAGGGUGCAAGCGUUGUCCGGAAUUAUUGGGCGUAAAGAGCUCGUAGGCGGUCUGUCACGUCGGCUGUGAAAACCCGAGGCUCAACCUCGGGCCUGCAGUCGAUACGGGCAAACUAGAGUGUUGCAGGGGAGACUGGAAUUCCUGGUGUAGCGGUGAAAUGCGCAGAUAUCAGGAGGAACACCGGUGGCGAAGGCGGGUCUCUGGGCAACAACUGACGCUGAGGAGCGAAAGCGUGGGGAGCGAACAGGAUUAGAUACCCUAGUAGUCC
rnacentral:rRNA from 1 species